rnacentral:rRNA from 1 species
UACGUAGGGUGCAAGCGUUAAUCGGAAUUAUUGGGCGUAAAGGGUGCGCAGGCGGUUGUAUAAGUCAGAUGUGAAAUCCCUGGGCUUAACCUAGGAAUUGCGUUUGAAACUAUAUGACUAGAGUGUGACAGAGGGGAGUGGAAUUCCAUGUGUAGCAGUGAAAUGCGUAGAGAUGUGGAAGAACACCGAUGGCGAAGGCAGCUCCCUGGGUUAACACUGACGCUCAUGCACGAAAGCGUGGGGAGCAAACAGGAUUAGAAACCCAGUAGUCC